UACGUAGGGUGCAAGCGUUAUUCGGAAUUACUGGGCGUAAAGCGUGCGCAGGCGGCUUUGUAAGUCAGAUGUGAAAUCCCCGGGCUUAACCUGGGAACUGCAUUUGUGACUGCAUGGCUGGAGUGCGGCAGAGGGGGAUGGAAUUCCGCGUGUAGCAGUGAAAUGCGUAGAUAUGCGGAGGAACACCGAUGGCGAAGGCAAUCCCCUGGGCCUGCACUGACGCUCAUGCACGAAAGCGUGGGGAGCAAACAGG
rnacentral:rRNA from 1 species